GACGUCAGCGGACGGCGUUGCCGCGGCAACGGGCCGGCGCCGCGCGUGCGGCAGCGUGGACGCGCUCGGAGCUGCCCCGCGGCAGGAACGGUCCGAGCUCGGCUGGAGCUGCCGGUAGUGUCCCUGCAUCGGAGACAGGAGACCCGUGUUAAUGCCCCACCUGUUGCAAAUGUGUGUGUAAUAACGUAGCCGAGUGGUUGGAUGGGAAAACACCUUCACCACAAGCAGCUGAGGUACCAGCGUCAAUGGCCCCCAAAGACAAGUCUACCAGCUCUGAGGAAAAAGCCACAGAUUUCACAGAAGAUACACCAAUAACACUGCCUCCCACACACUUCAAUAUAGUCAUCUGAAUGACUACUUUCGCUAGGUUAGAGUCAGGUGCAUACUCGGGUGAGCAUGUCUCUGAAUCAGAUUGAGGAAGAAACACCCCUGGUCAUUAGUAUACAGAGAACUGCCAGAGACCAGGCACCUGCACAACCCUUAGGCAGAAGAUGACCCAUCGUGUUGGGCAUUAAGAACUUCUUUCAAGUGCAUAGGCAGAUAGAGGAGUAGCAAGUGUAUUUGUUGGACACACUGCGCAAGUUGAUUCAAAGGUUGAAGGACUCUACCAUGCUAUUUAAGUGAUCAUUAACUAUUUUCAGUUUUAUUUGCUGAUUGAUAUCUGCUGCGAAUGAAUCUGGGAGGAAUCGCCUCAGUCAUUGCCCAGGAGUGAAUAAAGGGAAGGCAAGCUAUAGCGGAGCGACCAUUUUUAGAAGGGCAGCUUUGUGGAUGAAGUGCUGCUGGAGGUUUAAGUGUAGGCUUAAGUGAAUACCGGGCCUCAGUAAGGAGGGCAAGCAACAGCGAGGUAAGGCAGACAGAGGAAGAGCAAACUACUGCACCUGCUGAAAAUACAAGAGUAAAACAGAAGUAGAAGGAAGUUUAACCAUGAAGUCACAGACUGCAGUGACUGCAGCAGCACGAGCAGGAGCUUGGACAAGGGGCCUGUCGGGAAGCCGCUCGCUGCCAUGCAAAGGCAGCCAACAUCAUCAAAGACCCAUUGCACCCCGGUAAUGACCUCCUACAACCUCAUCCUUCAGGCAGAAGAUGCAGAAGCCUGAACACAUGCACCAGCAGGUUCAGUAACAGCUUCCUUCCAGGCGUUAUCAGACUGUUGAAUGGACUAUUUCAAAUAAUGUAACUGUAUGCUCCUCAGUCUUUUUGAUCCAUCCAUCCUUUGCUUGUUGUGAUCUGCUUCUACACUCAUUAACAGAGCUUUGACACAUGUACCAAAUACAGUGAAAUCAAGAUAACAAAGUGUGGGGCUGGAUGAACACAGCAGGCCAAGCAGUAUCUCAGGAGCACAAAAGCUGACGUUUCGGGCCUAGACCCUUCUUCAGACAGUGAAAUCAAUCAAUGUUAGUCAUUUGUUGCAUUUAUUGAAUACUUAAUCAUUGGAAUUCCAUGCUUUGUUGUCUGCCUGACCAAUUUGUCUGCUCCCUCCAGCUAAAUAAAUGUAAAUGAUUCAUUAACAGUGAGUGAGAUCAGUCUCCAAUUGUCUGUGAAAAAGGACACUUUUUAAAAACAUAUAGAGCAAUAAAUUGUCUCUGUAAACCCUAGUUUAAAUGAAAAUUGUUAUUCUUUCAUGACUGAUUCUUCUUCCUACGCUGCGCAGUUCCUGACCUAAGGUUAACAUCACUUAACA